GAUGAACGCUGGCUACAGGCUUAACACAUGCGAGUCGAGGGGAAAUGGCAUUGAGUGCUUGCACUGAAUGGACGUCGACCGGCGCACGGGUGAGUAACGCGUAUCCAACCUUCCCGUUACUGCGGGAUAACCUGCCGAAAGGCAGACUAAUACCGCAUGUUCUUCGAUGACGGCAUCAGAUUCGAAGCAAAGAUCCGUCGGUAACGGAGGGGGAUGCGUCUGAUUAGCUAGUUGGCGGGGCGACGGCCCACCAAGGCGACGAUCAGUAGGGGUUCUGAGAGGAAGCUCCCCCGCAUUGGAACUGAGACACGGUCCAAGAUCCUACGGGAGGCAGCAGUGAGGAAUAUUAGUCAAUGGGCGGAAGCCUGAACCAGCCAAGUAGCGUGCAGGAUGACGGCCCUACGGGUUGUAAACUGCUUUUAUGCGGGGAUAAAGUGAGGGACGCGUCCCUUUUUGCAGGUACCGCAUGAAUAAGGACCGGCUAAUUCCGUG
rnacentral:rRNA from 1 species